AAUAUUGAUUUUAUUAAAUUGGUUUAGUUGUGUUGGUUAAACUUAAAUUGGCAUUGGUUUAAAGAUUUUAGUUGGUUUAAUUCAAUUUUACAAAACUUGAUGGGUUAAUUGGGUAAACCAUUGAAACCAUUACAACCCAACUCAUUUUACUCAUCAAACCAAUUGACUCAUCAACUCAUUUGAGUCAAAAUUUUGAACUCAUUAGGGUUCACGGGUUGAGUUGAGUUGAGUUGACCCAUGAAUUUUGACCCAUUUUGACACCCCUACUUAAACUACAUAUUGUUUAUCAAAAUAAAAACACCUAUUAGAUUGAGACAUUUCAAAAAAUUAUGGUUGUCGCAAUUAUCGUAGGCGAUUAGAGUAAGGUAGUAAGCACACUUAUGAUUUAAGAAUGUUAAUUUUCAAAUUUCAAUUUUUUUUU
rnacentral:sRNA from 1 species